rnacentral:misc_RNA from 1 species
UGAAGCUGAUGUCACUGUAGGG